rnacentral:rRNA from 1 species
UACGUAGGUGGCGAGCGUUGUCCGGAUUUACUGGGCGUAAAGCGCGCGUAGGCGGCUUUCUAAGUCCUGUCGUGAAAGGUCGCGGCCCAACUGCGACAGUGCGCGGGAUACUGGGGAGCUUGAGGGCAGCAGAGGCCGGUGGAAUUCCCGGUGGAGUGGUGAAAUGCGUAGAUAUCGGGAGGAACACCGACGGCGUAGGCAGCGCCCUGGACGACACCUGACGCUGAGGCACGAAAGCUGGGGGAGCGAACAGG